rnacentral:lncRNA from 1 species
CCAAGGUACUACUGAAUAGCAGGUGGGUGUUAAAUAACAUUAUCAAAUAGGAAAAGUAUGGCUCACCACUGAAUAAUUUUCAUGUUAUCUUUAUCCCUUCUGUGCAUAAAGCAAUUAUGUUUCACCUCCUAAUCUUUUAAUUUCAGUCCUCCCACCCUCUUUUGAAUAGCAUAUAGGUCAGGAGCAUUCUUUUGUUGGCAUCCACUGAAUAAUUCCUCUCCCUAACCUAGAUUCCCGAAGACUAAAGGAACGUAGCAGUAAUGUGGGUAAUCAAACUUGGGGCUUUCCCUAUUUUUUAUUCUUCAGAAUCUCGUUGCUUUGUGAAGAGUAGGUGUUGAAUACAUGCUUUUCAGUUGACUCAGGUAUGACGAUCUUUGUCAUUUAUUUAUUGCAUGUGGGCCCCUUGUUCUUUGGCC